rnacentral:lncRNA from 1 species
GAAUAACUUCUGUUGCCAGCUCAUGUGUGCAGAGUGGCUCUAUGUCAAAGUCCACACUUUCCACACUCUGGGGGAGUAUCUCCCAGGGCAGAACUUAAACAGCAGCUACUAGUAUGGCAGCACGAGGUAUCUGACACUGGUCCUAGAGCUGCAUAUCCAUGAACAUCCUCAGCAUGCACUGGAUGUUCCAAAUUAUCUUCCACCUCUGCCAACACCAGAUGAACUGAAUUGCUCACAGAUUGGAACUGCUGACAUAAACCGUCAAUGUGAAUUCAACCACUGCACUUCAAUCAACUUCAGCAUGAGCCUGAUUAACUCAGAGCAUUGGCGGUCUGCACUAAACAACCCAUCAUCUGGCAGUCACUCACAGAUGAUACUAAUUGCAUGUAUCUAGAGGGAAAAGGGUAGACCUUGGAAACAAGAAUGUUUUCGACUGGAUUUGCAAAAAUGCUCAGUCUUUUCUACUUAGUGGAUUUGCAAACGUCCUACUCUUGUGAGACCCAAGCAGCUUCGUUUGUCUCAGUCCUAUUAACUAGUUCAG